AGAAGUUUAGGUUAAACAAACCAAGAGCCUUCAAAGCCCUAAACAGGAGCACCCACCCCCCCUAACUUCUG
rnacentral:tRNA from 1 species